GACCACCUUCCUAAUAUUGUGUUGGUGCCAAAACAGCCCUGACCCGUCGAGGCAUGGACUCCUCUAGACCCCUGAAGGUGUGCUGUGGUAUCUGACACCAAGAUGUUAGCAGCAGAUCCAAGUCCUGUAAGUUGUGAGGUGGAGCCUCCAUGGAUCGGACUUGUUUGUUCAGCACAUCCCACAGAUGCUCGAUUGGAUUGAGAUCUGGGGAAUUUGGAUGCCAAGUCAACACCUCAAACUCAUUGUUGUGCUCCUCAAACCAUUCCUGAACCAUUUUUGCUUUGUGGCAGGAGCAUUAUCCUGCUGAAAGAGGCCACAGCCAGCAGGGAAUACUGUUUCCAUGAAAGGGUGUACGUGGUCUGCAACAAUGCUUAGGUAGGUGGUACGUGUCAAAGUAACAUCCACAUGGAUGGCAGGACCCAAGGUUUCCCAGCAGAACAUUGCCCAAAGCAUCACACUGCCUCCGCCGGCUCGCCUUCUUCCCAUAGCGCAUCCUGGUGCCAUGUGUUCCCCAGGUAAGUGACGCACACGCACCCGGCCAUCCAUGAUUCAUCAGACCAGGCCACCUUCUUCCAUUGCUCCGUGGUCCAGUUCUGAUGCACAUGUGUCCACUGUUGGCGCUUUUGGCGGUGGACAGGGGUCAGCAUGGUCACCCUGACUGGUCUGUGUCUAUGCAGCUCCAUACGCAACAAACUGAUGCACUGUGUAUUCUGACACCUUUCUGUCAGAACCAGCAUUAACUUCUGGAGCAAUUUGAGCUAUAGUAGCUCGUCUGUUGGAUCGGACCACAUGGGCCAGCCUUCGCUCCCCACGUGCAUCAAUGAGCCUCGGCCGCCCAUGAUCCUGUUCCUUCCUUGGAGCACUUUUGAUAGAUACUGACCACUGCAGACCGGGAACACCCCACAAGAGCUGCAGUUUUGGAGAUGCUCUGACCCAGUCGUCUAGCCAUCACAAUUUGGCCCUUGUCAAACUCACUCAAAUCCUUACGCUUGCCCAUUUUUCCUGCUUCUAACACAUCAACUUUGAGGACAAAAUGUUCACUUGCUGCCUAAUAUAUCCACACACUAACGGUAUAUAUAUUGUAUAAUGCAGUAAAUUAAAUACUCCUCUUUUUAUUUGGAACUUUGAUGAACAGAAGCCAAAGGAUCAGAUUUUUCAUAUCAAAUUGAUGGUAAGUAAUACAUCUGUGCACACACUGCUUUAAAUGAUGAAACACUCAAAACAGUCAAAUUAAUAUUAGAAAACUGAUUGGAUGAUCCAUAUUUGGAGUAGUAAAAUAGCUGAAUCACACACACAUUAGCUGCAUUCUAUAUUAAUCCAUUGGAUAAACAUGACCAGAUGAGCAUGAAUGUGUUAUUUCAAAUUCUAAAAAUUCAACAUCAUCAUAGAGCUAAUAUCUUAUGUUUUUUUCCUCAGGUACUACUUCAGCAAAAGGAAAGCAAAGGAAAAAAUCUAAUUCAGCGUUCCACAGGCUUUAAUAAGCCCCUUCUGAGGUUUCCUGGAAUUGUCGGCCAGACGGAUCUUUUGCACACACACACUGACAGUCUGUCCCGCUUAGCUGAGUCACAUGGGAAGAAUUGGACAGAUCCAGAUCGAGAGAUUGGGUUAGACAUUGAGAAAGAGACGGGUCAGGUGUCUAGAUGAUCUCAGCCAUCUGAGAACUUCAGAGACAAAACAUUGUUGGAUUGGGACAUUUGUUUAAAGAGACCUAUUUUGCUUCUUUGUUUAGUGUGUAAUGUUGCUGUUUGAGCAUGAAAAAGGCGGGAGUUCUUCUUCACUAUAGCAGUGUAAGUUUUUCUGAACUCCCUGAAACGCCUCCAUUGUAGUCUUGAGUUUUCUUCACAAUAUUCCUCAUUUAAAUAAUUCAUAUGCAGAAUAAAGGGGCGGGGCCUGGUUGAGUUAGUUAGUAGUGUGUUGAAACUGGCGAUUAUGGUAAGGGGCGGGACAUUUCCCAAACACCAAUCACAACACACUGCUCCAGCUGACCAAUCAGAGCACACUGUGCUUUUCAGAAGGAGGGGCUUCAUAGAGACAGGAACUAAACAGAGCGUUACUGACAGACUGGGAAGAGAGGAGCUGAACAAUGGAGAAUAUGAGGAAAACAAUCAACCUGUUCUAGUAGAGCACAAAAACAACAUCAAGAGUUUUUGGCCUCUUUAAUUAAAUCAAACACAAAUAACUCGCUAGUUCACAAGCUGAUACACAAUUCAACUUUGAAGGGUGUAAGGCAUCUACUGGCUCAGGAAGUGAUGCAAUAAAUCUCAUCUGAGAGGGAACGCAGGACAGUGAACGGUCACAGAUCCUCUCCUGUGUUGCUUACACACACUGCGACCCUUUAAUAAUUAAACAAAAAGCUUUGUACGGCACGCUUUGAUGUGUUAAAGCCGUUUAAUAUUUAAACAGCACAUUUUCCAAUUAAGCAUUCUCAUUUAAUCUUCUUGUAGACAGGAAAGGUGCUUGCUGCGUGCUGAAUUGCGAAUUAUACAAAUAGCCUUAAUGUGAAUAUCUUAAUCCAGCCGAGCUCUUCUAUUAACUAUGAUGUUUUUUCACUUUAAACAGCCUUUUCACAAAAUGGAGGGCCAGCUCUUUGAGUUGCUGCAUUGAAUAUGUCUAAUCAGUGAUGUAAUUGCAUGUUCUGGUAAUGUUGUGAACAUUACUUCUUGCCCAGUGAGAGUCUCGUUUCUGAUUGGUUGGCUCGCCACACAGGAAGGCGUAACUAUGGAGACCAAGGCCUUAUCUGGAUAGCCUGUGUGACAAACCACUUCCUGUUUACAAUGUUUUGGUCCACAUUCCCUUUUCAUGUCAGCAGACCUCCCGCAUAGUGAAAUACGGAGGCAGUUUGACAGGAAAAGAGCGCUGAGAGUGUUGCCGCGUUUGGCUCUUGUCUGAAAGUACGAAGUGCGUUAUUUACCCUCUCGAUGCCGCAGAGGCUGGAAAGCCUUUGAUUUAAUGUGAUUGAAAAGCAUGCACUAGAUUUCCUGCUGAGUGUGCAUGCAGUAAAUCUCAGCACCACCUUGAUGGAGCGCUGUUAAAGGGCGGGACAGAAGUAAAUAUUUCUCUCAGAGUAAUCAGCACAGAAACACUCGACACUGGAGGAAAGAUAUACAACAGGCCGAUGCAAAGGAUGUGUCCUCCUGACACGCAGCAUGUUAAAAUGUUCAGCAAUAACCCAUAAAUAUCAAGUGUGCUGAACUCAAAAAGGACAGGAACUUUCACCCUGGGAUUUUUGGGGAAAGUGUUGUAGCUGGAGAUUGAAUCAUGCUUUCUCUCACUCUCUGUUUUUAUGUCAGUCUGUCUCUCUUCCCCUCCUCUCGCUCUCGCCAUAAUCCUCUUUGCAGGCUUGGAAACUGGAGUGGCGUGCUUCCAAGGCAAAGGUUGAUGGGAAAACGUACAUGCUGCCAAGCGGGCCCCAGUUGCCGGCGUUAGAAGCACACACAUCUUUGUUCUCUGAGACCUGGUGUCCCGCCAAGAGCCUCAUUUCUGUCUCUGCAUUAUGGUUGCUCUGGAUGCGCGCCAAACUACAGACUCUCACUUCUUUACUCUCUCUCUCUCUCUCUCGCUCUUUCUUUUUUUCCGUUUUGGCCUGCUUCUCUCUCUCAUCCCGCAUCCAUUACUUCUCUCUGCUGCCAAACAUUCUGCAGUUGCCAUGGCAGCCGGGAGGCUGGAACUUUGGAGCGACGCAGCCAAUGAGUCACCAGAGAUUCCAGCUGCGGCACAUCUGCUGGAGAACAACAACAGCAGCGGCGGCGGAGAGAUAAAAAACAUUAAAUAUGACGGAGCGUGGCCUGAAGUGAGGAGCAGAGUACACGAGGUGCCCUUGGCGAGACAGAUAAGCUGCAGUAAUAUGAUUACACGUCCUGCAUUGUGCAACUCAUGACUCAACCUCUAAUUACAGCUGUGCUGCACUGUUUGCAGGUGAGCCGCGGUUAAACCAGCUCAGCGCCGCAGGAGGGGUUGCGUCAAAGAUUUAUCAACAUGACACUUUGAAUGGAUUCCAGAGAGCUCAUUGAUUUCACACGUGACCUUUGCACCCCGCUUGUGAGUCUGGGUGGAAAUGGGCGUCGACCAGCGAGCGCAAAUCUGCUGGACUGACACUGAGAGAGUGUCUCAAUGGAGGAGUGGAGGAACACAGACGGAGGUCAAGGACAGAGGAGAGCGUCCAUCAGAUGAUUCAUCAACUGUCUGAAGUGACAGACACCAGAUAACUUUGAAUGAACGUUUAUUAACGUUACUGGAAGAACAUAAAGUUCAUAAAGUUGAGAGAACCUUGACACAACGUUCUGAGAAUGUUCCCUGUUCCCUGAGAUAUACUGCACACGCCGUAUGAACUACAGUACUUUAAUGGUGUUGUAUGGAAAAGAUCCAUUUAAAAAUUAAUAAAUAAACAUAUAAAUCAAAAUAAAU